GCUCGGAAGCAUCUCUGGUGGUG
rnacentral:piRNA from 1 species